rnacentral:rRNA from 1 species
AGUGAACGCUGGCGGUAGGCCUAACACAUGCAAGUCGAACGGCAGCACAGUAAGAGCUUGCUCUUACGGGUGGCGAGUGGCGGACGGGUGAGGAAUACAUCGGAAUCUACUUUUUCGUGGGGGAUAACGUAGGGAAACUUACGCUAAUACCGCAUACGACCUACGGAUGAAAGCAGGGGAUCUUCGGACCUUGCGCGAUUGAAUGAGCCGAUGUCGGAUUAGCUAGUUGGCGGGGUAAAGGCCCACCAAGGCGACGAUCCGUAGCUGGUCUGAGAGGAUGAUCAGCCACACUGGAACUGAGACACGGUCCAGACUCCUACGGGAGGCAGCAGUGGGGAAUAUUGGACAAUGGGCGCAAGCCUGAUCCAGCCAUACUGCGUGGGUGAAGAAGGCCUUCGGGUUGUAAAGCCCUUUUGUUGGGAAAGAAAAGCAGCAGGUUAAUACCCCGCUGUUCUGACGGUACCCAAAGAAUAAGCACCGGCUAACUUCGUG